GGAGAGGUGCCCGAGCGGUUGAAGGGGGCGGUCUCGAAAACCGUUGUACCUUAUGGGUACCCAGGGUUCGAAUCCCUGCCUCUCCG
rnacentral:tRNA from 1 species